CCAUGCCGCGUGUGUGAUGAAGGCCAUCGGGUUGUAAAGCACUUUCAGUCGUGAGGAAGCUGGUGUAGUUAAUAGCUGCAUUACUUGACGUUAGCGACAGAAGAAGCACCGGCUAACUCCGUGCCAGCAGCCGCGGUAAUAGGAGGGUGCGAGCGUUAAUCGGAAUUACUGGGCGUAAAGCGCAUGCAGGUGGUUUGUUAAGUCAGAUGUGAAAGCCCGGGGCUCAACCUCGGAAUAGCAUUUGAAACUGGCAGACUAGAGUACUGUAGAGGGGCGUAGAAUUUCAGGUGUUGCGGAGAAAUGCGUAGAGAUCUGAAGGAAAACCGGUGGCGAAGGCGGCCCCCUGGACAGAUACUGACACUCAGAUGCGAAAGCGUGGGGAGCAAACAGGAUUAGAUA
rnacentral:rRNA from 1 species